rnacentral:rRNA from 1 species
GACGAACGCUGGCGGCGUGCUUAACACAUGCAAGUCGAACGGAAAGGCCCUGCUUUUGUGGGGUGCUCGAGUGGCGAACGGGUGAGUAACACGUGAGUAACCUGCCCUUGACUUUGGGAUAACUUCAGGAAACUGGGGCUAAUACCGGAUAGGAGCUCCUGCUGCAUGGUGGGGGUUGGAAAGUUUCGGCGGUUGGGGAUGGACUCGCGGCUUAUCAGCUUGUUGGUGGGGUAGUGGCUUACCAAGGCUUUGACGGGUAGCCGGCCUGAGAGGGUGACCGGCCACAUUGGGACUGAGAUACGGCCCAGACUCCUACGGGAGGCAGCAGUGGGGAAUAUUGCACAAUGGGCGGAAGCCUGAUGCAGCAACGCCGCGUGCGGGAUGACGGCCUUCGGGUUGUAAACCGCUUUCGCCUGUGACGAAGCAUGAGUGACGGUAAUGGGUAAAGAGGCACCGGCUAACUACGUG